UAUAAAAAAGAAAAAAUAUAUAUAUUAAACUAGUUAGAAAACGUUAAAAAAUAAAAAGGUAAAAGUUAAAAAAAAAUUUACCAGAAGGCGAGAAAACAAAACAAAAAAUGAAAAAGAAAAAAAUUAAAUUAACUGCAAGACUAAAAAAAAUCACAGGGAAAAAGCCAUGAGUUCCGUGCUUUGCUUUCUCCUCCUCUGGAAUUCUGCUGCUCUCCUUGGUAUUGAAACUGCACUCCUUGGUAGGUGAACUUGGUCUAGGCUGGAUUUCUUGUUGAUCUUCUGGGGGAGGGGCCUGUUGUAGUGAUUCUCAAGUGUCUUUGCCCCAGGUGGAAUUGCACCGCCCUUACCAGGGGCCGGGCUGAGUAAUCUGCUCGGGUUUGCUUUCAGGAGCUUUUGUUCCCUGAGCGCUUUCCGUAGAGUUCCGGAGGACGGGAAUACAAAUGGCGGCCUCCUGGUCUCCGGCCCAGAGGAGCCGAGAGCCCAGGGCCCCACUCCUCAGUGCACCCUCAGAGAACAGCGCCAGUUACUCCCGUCUGCCUGACCUCCGGCCGCGCUCCGAGCUCACCGAGCCUGUGACUGGUUCAAGCACUGACCCACCAGGGAGUAAGACUGAAUACCCUGAGGCCACCACACUGUGAGGAGGCGCAGGUCAAUGGAGAGACCAUGUGUGGGUCCUGGAGCUGAUAGUUCAAGAGAAGAUCCCAGACGGAAAUCAGUAUCAAUUACCAGACACAUGGAUGAAGACCCAUUGGGAGAGAGACAGAGAGAGUGAAUACAAACAGCAGGAGCAGGAGAAGGAGAAACAGGCUCCCCACUGAGCAGGGAGCCCAGUGCAGUACUCGAUCCCAGAACCCCAGGAUCACGACCUGAGCCGAAGACAGACACUUGACAGACUGAGACACCCAAGCACCCCUGUCAUUUGCGUUCUUUUCCCCAACUAGCUGCCUCCAUCAGUGUCCGGAUACAACAAGUUAGUUACAAAACAAAGCACAAGCCUCUGGCGGAUCCUGGAAUGGAAACUGAUGACAGAAAGCCAAUUUGCACCAUGCUUCAUCAUUGAGAACUAUAUUGAAGCUCAUGUUGUAAGUCAUAGAAUAACAUGGACCAGAGAAGGCCAUGUCCCUUCCGAGAGAGAAUUAUUUAAAAGCGCGAGGCUCCAGGCAGAUGGAAAAAGGGAUGGAACAUAUGGAAUUCAGCGCUGUUUUUCUUAAAGCUCCUCAGCUCUUGAAACCCAGUUCUCAUUUUCAGUUCAUGGCCAACAUCCACCAUUGGAGGAAAACAAAAUUAUGUUUCUUAUUAAGAUUUCUCAUGACCAGCUGUGGCAGACGCUCUCCAAUUUGCCGCCGCACUCCUCCCCUCAGGAUUCCCCUCCCAUCCCAAGAUAUUCUACUGGAAGGACUUGUGACUCUCAAGACAUGUCAGGGGGUUAGCCUUCUGGAAACAGCUUCUGGCCAAGGACAUACGCAAGCUGGAGGGUCAAUGCCUCCAUAUUCUCACACCUCAGGUGGGACCCAUCUGAGGUAUGUUUCAUACUGUGAGCUCCCCAGGGGAUUAAGCCCCAGCUGCCCAGAGUGGAAGUCUAUUCAUUGCUUCAUUCAGUAUUGGCUUCUUGCCUUCUUGGCCUCACUUCCCUACAGCUACUUCUGAGGUGCAGUACCCAAACAAACUCAUAUACUCCUGUGUUAGGGUUUGCCACUAGAGGAACUCAACUAAAGACAUAGCCUUUAAAAAGAGACACUUAAUUGUAUUUAUUUAUCACUCAUUCACCAUACUUCUACUGCAAGCCCACCAUGCUUGAGGUAAAAUGCUAGGAGCUGAGGAAGGAAAGAG